rnacentral:rRNA from 1 species
UACGUAGGGUGCGAGCGUUGUCCGGAAUUAUUGGGCGUAAAGAGCUUGUAGGCGGUUUGUCGCGUCUGCUGUGAAAAUCCGGGGCUCAACUCCGGACUUGCAGUGGGUACGGGCAGGCUAGAGUGUGGUAGGGGAGACUGGAAUUCCUGGUGUAGCGGUGGAAUGCGCAGAUAUCAGGAGGAACACCGAUGGCGAAGGCAGGUCUCUGGGCCGAUACUGACGCUGAGGAGCGAAAGCGUGGGGAGCAAACAGG